UUGUUCGCAAUGGGCGCAAGCCUGACGACGCAACGCCGCGUGGAGGAUGAAGGGCUUCGGCUCGUAAACUCCUUUCGACCGAGAUGAACAUCCAUAGGGCUAAUAUCCUUGUGGACUGACAGUAUCGAGGGAAGAAGCCCCGGCUAACUCCGUGCCAGCAGCCGCGGUAAUACGGGGGGGGCAAGCGUUGUUCGGAAUUACUGGGCGUAAAGGGUUCGUAGGUGGCCAACUAAGUCAGACGUGAAAUCCCUCAGCUUAACUGGGGAACUGCGUCUGAUACUGGAUGGCUUGAGUGCAGGAGAGGAACGCGGAAUUCCAGGUGUAGCGGUGAAAUGCGUAGAUAUCUGGAGGAACACCGGUGGCGAAGGCGGCGUUCUGGACUGUAACUGACACUGAGGAACGAAAGCCAGGGGAGCAAACGGGA
rnacentral:rRNA from 1 species